GCCAGCAUGGCAUAGCGGUUUGAGUGCUGGACUGUGACCCUGGAGACCAGAGUUCAAAUCCUGGCUUGGCC